rnacentral:ncRNA from 1 species
UUAUCGGCCGUGAAGGGAAGAGUAAUCUGCACUUACUAUCUACAGAGAGCCGGGAAUGCUGGGAACCGGUGAUAGUGUGUAGAUGAAGAUCAUCCUUGAGCUCUUUGAGUGAACUAAUAGUAGCUCAAAGCGAAUGGCAAGCGUUAAUUGCCCUGAGAGCCCGUAUAUCAUUCGUUAAGAUUUUGCUUAGGUGUGCGGGUAAUAGGGUGGUACCGCGAGUAACCUCGUCCCUAUC